rnacentral:rRNA from 1 species
UACGUAAGGUGCAAGCGUUAUCCGGAAUCAUUGGGCGUAAAGCGUCCGCAGGUGGUUUGUUAAGUGGGUUAUGAAAUACCGGUGCUCAACAUCGGUGCUGUAAUCCAAACUGGCAAACUAGAGUAAUGGAGAGGUAUGUGGAAUUGUGCAAGUAGGGGUAAAAUCCGUAGAUAUGCACAGGAACACCAAAAGCGAAGGCAGCAUACUGGACAUUUACUGACACUCAGGGACGAAAGCGUGGGGAGCGAAAGGG